UACGUAGGGGGCAAGCGUUGUCCGGAAUCAUUGGGCGUAAAGCGCGCGUAGGCGGCCCGGUAAGUCCGCUGUAAAAGUCCAGGGCUCAACCCUGGAAAGCCGGUGGAUACUGUCGGGCUAGAGUCCGGAAGAGGCGAGUGGAAUUCCUGGUGUAGCGGUGAAAUGCGCAGAUAUCAGGAAGAACACCCGUGGCUAAGGCGGCUCUCUAGUACGGUACUGACGCUGAGGUGCGAAAGCGUGGGGAGCAAACAGG
rnacentral:rRNA from 1 species